rnacentral:rRNA from 1 species
UACGAAGGGGGCUAGCGUUGCUCGGAAUCACUGGGCGUAAAGGGUGCGUAGGCGGGUCUUUAAGUCAGGGGUGAAAUCCUGGAGCUCAACUCCAGAACUGCCUUUGAUACUGAGGAUCUUGAGUACGGGAGAGGUGAGUGGAACUGCGAGUGUAGAGGUGAAAUUCGUAGAUAUUCGCAAGAACACCAGUGGCGAAGGCGGCUCACUGGCCCGUAACUGACGCUGAGACGCGAAAGCGUGGGGAGCGAACAGG